rnacentral:rRNA from 1 species
GUCUACGGCCAUGCCACCCUGAACGCGCCCGAUCUCGUCUGAUCUCGGAAGCUAAGCAGGGCCGGGCCUGGUUAGUACUUGGAUGGGAGGCUGUCAUCA